GCAUCUGCUUGUUGUUGGGUGAUGGAAUCAGGUUGGAGGUGAAAAAAAUGAGGCGCCAUGCAGUGAUAAGCUUCCCUUCGAUCCUUCGGAGCCAUGGCCAGACUAGAAGAAAAAUUAAAAAAUUUUAUCUCCUGAAGAACUGGGGAGAUUCUUUUAAAGGUGAAACGUCUCAUCUUUAGGUACUCGGGACCCAUGAGCAGUUUCUUCCAUUGUGUUCAACUGUAAAUCAAGACCACUUGCUUUGAGCACCAAGAAGGAAGUUAUGAUUUAUACCUUUAGGAUAUGCACAUAUUCUUUUUCUUUUCCCUGUGGUAUUCGAAAGUGGAAUGUUGCAUCCUAAAUAGACUUGGUUUGUACAUAUUUCUGAUUAUUUCUUUAUUUGGAGUGCAUCUAGCUUAGUGUUUUCACAUCUGUUUUUAACACCUCAGUUUCAGUAAUCCUUUGUAUUGUUAGCUAGCAAUUUUUGCAGCUGACUUAAUCAAAGCAAACUUUUUUUUUAUGUAAUCCUACUUGUUCAGUUUUCCAGUUCAUUAAAAUUUUUUCAAUUUGAUGAAUCUUUCAUGUAUGUAUUCUUGAAACUUUUAAGGAGGAAAAAGUAGGUGGUGUGUAACUUCCAGGUGCUUGCUUUAGAGGUGCUUCAAACGAAAGCACUUUAAUCAUGUCAAUAACUGCAAAUGAACUGUAUUUUAAGAUAAUAAAGCAAUUAAAAAUUUGGGAAUAUUUGAUGGUAUUCAGGAACUAUUUUUAAAUUUUCAGAUGGGGGUAUAGGUAUUUUAGUUAAAAAGCAAGUAUAAUUGUAGAUACAUGCUGAAAUAUAUACAGAUAUAAUAAAGGGAAAGGAGAAAAGAACUAGGCAAAGUAAUAGAAAUUUCAUAAGUUACAAAUUUUAGGAAAAGUAUGAUGAGUAAGGAUAGCAAAUUCUGAGUCCAUUGCUAAAGUAAGCAUUCAAGUGAAGGAACAUUUCUGAAAUUCCCCUAUGAUGUUUAUUUUAAGUUUGCUUGGGUAAUGAUGAAUAUUCAUCAAGUUUUGUUAUUUUGGCUUUAAGUAUGAUAUUGCCCAACUAUCAGUUUACUUUCUCUUUCACUCAUCUUUAAACUGGUUUGCUGACAAUGAUACAUUUUUUUAAAGUGAAAGAGCAUUUUGUCAGGUUGUUGAGAUGAAUAUUAGGCUGGUGCAAUAAAGAAAUCCAGUUGAUAUACAAUAUUAAUAUGUCAAGAUUUCACUGUGGUAUUUUUAAUGGUAUAGAAAUGAGAAAGAAAGUUGGG